GACGAACGCUGGCGGCGUGCCUAAUACAUGCGAGUAGAACGCACAGUUUAUACCGUAGCUUGCUACACCAUAGACUGUGAGUUGCGAACGGGUGAGUAACGCGUAGGUAACCUGCCUGGUAGCGGGGGAUAACUAUUGGAAACGAUAGCUAAUACCGCAUAAUAUUGAUUAUUGCAUGAUAAUUGAUUGAAAGAUGCUAUUGCAUCACUACCAGAUGGACCUGCGUUGUAUUAGCUAGUAGGUGAGGUAACGGCUCACCUAGGCGACGAUACAUAGCCGACCUGAGAGGGUGAUCGGCCACACUGGGGCUGAGACACGGCCCAGACUCCUACGGGAGGCAGCAGUAGGGAAUCUUCGGCAAUGGACGAAAGUCUGACCGAGCAACGCCGCGUGAGUGAAGAAGGUUUUCGGAUCGUAAAGCUCUGUUGUAAGAGAAGAACGGGUGUGAGAGUGGAAAGUUCACACUGUGACGGUAUCUUACCAGAAAGGGACGGCUAACUACGUG
rnacentral:rRNA from 1 species